rnacentral:rRNA from 1 species
CCUACGGGUGGCAGCAGUGAGGAAUAUUGGUCAAUGGACGGAAGUCUGAACCAGCCAUGCCGCGUGCAGGAAGACGGCUCUAUGAGUUGUAAACUGCUUUUGUACAAGGGUAAACCUGAAUACGUGUAUUCAGCUGAACGUACUGUACGAAUAAGGAUCGGCUAACUCCGUGCCAGCAGCCGCGGUAACACGGAGGAUCCAAGCGUUAUCCGGAUUUAGUGGGUGUAAAGGGUGCGUAGGCGGAUUCAUAAGUUAGAGGUGAAAUGUUCGGGCUUAACUCGGGAACUGCCUUUAAUACUGUUGAUCUAGAGAGUAGGUGCGGUAGGCGGAAUGUAUGGUGUAGGGGUGAAAUGCUUAGAGAUCAUGCAGAACACCGAUUGCGAAGGCGGCUUACCAAUCUAUAUCUGACGUUGAGGCACGAAAGCGUGGGGAGCAAACAGGAUUAGAUACCCCGGUAGUC